rnacentral:rRNA from 1 species
AUUGAACGCUGGCGGCAUGCCUUACACAUGCAAGUCGAACGGCAGCACGGGAGCAAUCCUGGUGGCGAGUAGCGAACGGGUGAGUAAAGUAUCGGAACGUGCCCAGUCGUGGGGGAUAACGUAGCGAAAGUUACGCUAAUACCGCAUACGAUCUAUGGAUGAAAGCGGGGGAUCGCAAGACCUCUCGCGAUUGGAGCGGCCGAUAUCAGAGUAGGUAGUUGGUGGGGUAAAGGCUCACCAAGCCGACGAUCUGUAGCUGGUCUGAGAGGACGACCAGCCACACUGGGACUGAGACACGGCCCAGACUCCUACGGGAGGCAGCAGUGGGGAAUUUUGGACAAUGGGCGAAAGCCUGAUCCAGCCAUGCCGCGUGCAGGAUGAAGGCCUUCGGGUUGUAAACUGCUUUUGUACGGAACGAAAAGGUUUGGCCUAAUAAGCUGAGCUCAUGACGGUACCGUAAGAAUAAGCACCGGCUAACUACGUGCCAGCCGCCGCCGUAA